rnacentral:rRNA from 1 species
UACGUAGGACGCAAGCGUUAUCCGGAAUUAUUGGGCGUAAAGCGCUCGUAGGCGGUUUGUCGAGUCUGCCGUUAAAGUCCGGGGCUCAACUCCGGAUCUGCGGUGGGUACGGGCAGACUAGAGUGAUGUAGGGGAGACUGGAAUUCCUGGUGUAGCGGUGAAAUGCGCAGAUAUCAGGAGGAACACCGAUGGCGAAGGCAGGUCUCUGGGCAUUAACUGACGCUGAGGAGCGAAAGCAUGGGGAGCGAACAGG